rnacentral:tRNA from 1 species
UAAGAGUUCUUGNAGGGAAUCU